rnacentral:rRNA from 1 species
GAUGAACGCUGGCGGCGUGCCUAAUACAUGCAAGUCGAGCGAACAGAUAAGGAGCUUGCCCCUUUGACGUUAGCGGCGGACGGGUGAGUAACACGUGGAUAACCUACCUAUAAGACUGGGAUAACUUCGGGAAACCGGAGCUAAUACCGGAUAACAUAUUGAACCGCAUGGUUCAAUAGUGAAAGGCGGCUUUGCUGUCACUUAUAGAUGGAUCCGCGCCGUAUUAGCUAGUUGGUAAGGUAACGGCUUACCAAGGCAACGAUACGUAGCCGACCUGAGCGGGUGAUCGGCCACACUGGAGCUGAGACACGGUCCAGACUCCUACGGGAGGCAGCAGUAGGGAAUCUUCCGCAAUGGGCGAAAGCCUGACGGAGCAACGCCGCGUGAGUGAUGAAGGUCUUCGGAUCGUAGAACUCUGUUAUCAGGGAAGAACAAAUGUGUAAGUAACUGUGCACAUCUUGACGGUACCUGAUCAGAAAGCCACGGCUAACUACGUG